rnacentral:rRNA from 1 species
CGCGUAGGCGGGCAUUCAAGUCAGGGGUGAAAUCUUUCGGCUCAACCGGAAUAGUGCCUCUGAUACUGGGUGUCUUGAGGGAGGUAGGGGCGUGUGGAACCUCCGGUGGAGCGGUGAAAUGCGUAGAUAUCGGAAGGAACGCCGGUGGCGAAAGCGACGCGCUGGACCUCUUCUGACGCUGAGGCGCGAAAGCCAGGGGAGCAAACGGGAUUAGAUACCCCGGUAGUCCUGGCCCUAAACGUUGGGUACUAGGUAGUGGACUUGACAUGGGUUCACUGCCGAAGCAAAAGUGUUAAGUACCCCGCCUGGGGAGUAUGGUCGCAAGGCUGAA